AGUUCGGAUUACUUCUUUAAGUCUCUGUUCUCUUUUUUCGCGCAAAAAUGCCGGAUCCAGCGAAAUCCGCUCCUGCUCCCAAGAAGGGCUCCAAAAAGGCUGUUACGAAAGUGCAGAAGAAGGACGGCGAGAAGCGCAAGCGCAGCCGCAAGGAGAGCUACUCCGUUUACGUGUAGGAGGUGCUGAAGCAGGUCCACCCCGACACCGGCAUCUCGUCCAAGACCAUGGGCAUCAUGAACUCCUUCGUCAACGACAUCUUCGAGCGCAUCGCGGGAGAGGCGUCCCGCCUGGCGCACUACAACAAGCGCUCCACCAUCACGUCCCGCGAGAUCCAGACGGCCGUGCGCCUGCUGCUGCCCGGCGAGCUGGCCAAGCACGCCGUGUCCGAGGGCACCAAGGCGGUCACCAAGUACACCAGCUCGAAGUUAAUAGGACCCAUCCUUUGGAAGUAGGAAAGUGGCAUAGAAGGAGAAGCUGAGUUAGAGAUCACUCACCCACUUGCCCAUCAACUGGAACUGCAAGAGAUCAGAGAAUAAAGAUAUCAGUUGGUCCAAGGAAAAUAA
rnacentral:lncRNA from 1 species